rnacentral:lncRNA from 1 species
AAAGUCCGUAUACGUUAGGGAGCUACCAUUUGAUUUUUAUGGGGGGCUAGGAUGAAAUUUGAAAAAAAUAGGCAGGACAGGAGUUUUGAGUAAAAAAAAAAGGCAGGAUGAGACACUUGCAAAAAAAAAAAAGUCAGGACGACAAUUUAGGUAAAAAAAAGUCAGGAUAAACUAAAAAAAAAAAAAAAGGCAGGACCGAACAGAGUGAAAAAUAAAAAGGCAGGACAGAGAUUACAGCUAAAAAAAAAAUGCAGGACAAAAUUUUUCAUCCUAGCCCCCCCAUAAAAAUCAAAUGGUAGCUCCCUUAGUUGCA